UACGUAGGGUGCAAGCGUUGUCCGGAAUUAUUGGGCGUAAAGAGCGUGUAGGCGGCCAGGUAGGUCCGUUGUGAAAACUGGAGGCUUAACCUCCAGCGGUCGAUGGAAACCAUCUGACUAGAGUCCGGAAGAGGAGAGUGGAAUUCCUGGUGUAGCGGUGAAAUGCGCAGAUAUCAGGAAGAACACCCGUGGCUAAGGCGGCUCUCUAGUACGGUACUGACGCUGAGACGCGAAAGCGUGGGGAGCGAACAGG
rnacentral:rRNA from 1 species